GAUGAACGCUGGCGGCGUGCUUAACACAUGCAAGUCGAACGAAGCUGUUGUUUGGAAACCUUCGGGUGGAAGAAUAACAGACUGAGUGGCGGACGGGUGAGUAACGCGUGGGUAACCUACCUUGCACAGGGGGACAACAGUUGGAAACGACUGCUAAUACCGCAUAAGACCACAGUACCGCAUGGUACAGGGGUAAAAACUGAGGUGGUGCAAGAUGGACCCGCGUCUGAUUAGCUAGUUGGAGGGGUAAAGGCCUACCAAGGCGACGAUCAGUAGCCGACCUGAGAGGGUGAUCGGCCACAUUGGGACUGAGACACGGCCCAAACUCCUACGGGAGGCAGCAGUGGGGAAUAUUGGACAAUGGGGGAAACCCUGAUCCAGCGACGCCGCGUGAGUGAAGAAGUAUUUCGGUAUGUAAAGCUCUAUCAGCAGGGAAGAAAAGGACGGUACCUGGCUAAGAG
rnacentral:rRNA from 1 species